rnacentral:rRNA from 1 species
GUCCACGCCCUAAACGAUGUCAACUGGUUGUUGGACGGCUUGCUGUUCAGUAACGAAGCUAACGCGUGAAGUUGACAGCCUGGGGAGUACGGCCGCAAGGUUGAAACUCAAAGGAAUUGACGGGGACCCCGCACAAGCGGUGGAUGAUGUGGUUUAAUUCGAUGCAACGCGAAAACCUUACCUACCCUUGACAUGUCUAGAAGUUACCAGAGAUGGUUUAGUGCUCGAAAGAGAACUAGAACACAGGUGCUGCAUGGCCGUCGU